rnacentral:rRNA from 1 species
UACGUAGGUGACCAGCGUUGUCCGGAAUUACUGGGCGUAAAGCGUGCGCAGGCGGUUUUGUAAGUCUGUCGUGAAAGCCCCCGGGCUCAACCUGGGAAUUGCGAUGGAGACUGCAAGGCUUGAAUCUGGCAGAGGGGGGGUAGAAUUCCACGUGUAGCAGUGAAAUGCGUAGAGAUGUGGAGGAACACCAGUGGCGAAGGCGACUCUUUGGUCUGUAACUGACGCUGAGGCGCGAAAGCGUGGGGAGCAAACAGG